rnacentral:misc_RNA from 1 species
AAUAGCUGAAAGUAGGUCCUGUAUUCCGCCAUUUUGGAUUGGAUUCUCGUAUUUGGUACUGAUUUUGUGACACAUAUCGGUAUUAUUAAAUAAUUAGCAAAAAUGCAGUCAAAAGAGCACUUUGUGAUAAAAGCAAAGUUAGCUGAACAAGCAGAGCGAUACGAUGACAUGGCUACUGCAAUGAAAAAGUGCGUAGAAGAGACUAGCACCAAAAAAGAAACGCUUAACAACGAGGAAAGAAAUUUGCUGUCUGUUGCUUACAAGAAUGUCGUAGGUGCUCGGAGGUCCGCCUGGAGGGUAAUAUCCAGUAUUGAACAGAAGACAGAAUCUGCUGAUAAAAAGCAACAGAUGGCAAAGGACUACAGGGAAAAGGUUGAAAAGGAACUCAAAGGAAUAUGUCAAGAUGUUUUGGAUUUGCUGGAUAAGAUUUUAAUUCCAAUGAUAAAAGAUGACCCCAAGGACAAGCAAAAGCUGGAGAGUCUGGUCUUCUACUUAAAGAUGAAGGGAGACUACUUCCGCUACCUGGCGGAAGUGAGCAGUGGACAGGAUAGGAAAGACGUCGUGGAGAAGUCGAGAGAAGCGUACCAUGAGGCGGACCUGAAGGCCGGUGACGACAUGACUCCAACACAUCCCAUCCGUCUAGGUCUAGCAUUAAAUUUUUCUGUUUUCUACUACGAAAUUAUGAAUCACCCAGAGAAAGCUUGUGAACUUGCCAAAAAAGUAAGCAUUUGAUGACGCCAUAACACAACUAGACACAUUAAAUGAAGACUCGUAUAAAGACAGUACCUUGAUAAUGCAGCUAUUGAGGGAUAAUUUAACACUUUGGACAUCAGAUG